GAACUAACAAGGAUUCCCCUAGUAACUGCGAGUGAAGCGGGAAAAGCUCAAAUUUAAAAUCUGAAGGCAUUUUGUAGCCUUCCGAGUUGUAAUCUAGAGAAGUGCUUAUCCGCGCUGGACCAUGUACAAGUCUCCUGGAACGGAGCGUCGUAGAGGGUGAGAAUCCCGUCUUUGACAUGGACUACCAGGGCUUAUGUGAUGCGCUCUCAAAGAGUCGAGUUGUUUGGGAAUGCAGCUCUAAAUGGGUGGUAAAUUCCAUCUAAAGCUAAAUAUUGGCGAGAGACCGAUAGCGAACAAGUACCGUGAGGGAAAGAUGAAAAGAACUUUGGAAAGAGAGUUAAAUAGUACGUGAAAUUGUUGAAAGGGAAACGCUUGAAGUCAGUCACGUUAAUCAGAAAUCAGCCUUGUUUACUUGGUGUACUUUCUGGUUAAUGGGUCAACAUCAAUCUUGACCGGUGGAUAAAGGUCAAAGGAAUGUGACAUCUUCGGAUGUGUUUAUAGCCUUUGGUUGCAUACAUCGGUUGGAAUUGAGGAACUCAGCACGCCGUGAGGCCGGGUUUGGUUNUUAACCUCCGNCCUNNCUUNGGNNGUUGCNUUAUGGCCUUUAUNCNCCCCGCC
rnacentral:rRNA from 1 species